rnacentral:rRNA from 1 species
UACAGAGGUCUCAAGCGUUGUUCGGAUUCAUUGGGCGUAAAGCGCACGUAGGCGGUCCGUUAAGUCAGAUGUGAAAGCCCCCGGCUCAACCGGGGAAGUGCACCCGAAACUGGCGAGCUUGAGUACGAAAGAGGAUCGCGGAAUUCCCGGUGUAGAGGUGAAAUUCGUAGAUAUCGGGAGGAACACCGGUGGCGAAGGCGGCGAUCUGGGUCGAUACUGACGCUGAGGUGCGAAAGCGUGGGGAGCAAACAGG